ensembl:lncRNA
ACAAAUGUGUCCUCCAGUCUUUGAAGAUGGCUCCCGAAAGCUGAAAACUCCCUCCCCUAUAGCAGCUAAAAUCCAAAACAAGCACUCUGAAAAGACCCAAAUUCACACUUGGAAGUUUGGAAAUUAAAAAAUCACAAACCAAGCCACAACCUACUUAGAUCACCUGAGAAUGGGCUCCUCUUCUUCCCUGGACCUUGUGAUUUCCACUCAGCCCUCCACUUCUACCAUAACCUCAGUGGGCUUCCUGGAGUCCUGCCAAGAGAGCCAGCUGCCACUUGAAUCCUGGGACUAAUCUUCACCCCCGAUGAGGGACAUACAAGAUCGCUCAAGUGUGGCAAUAAUUCACUAGUUCAACCUCCAGUCGCUGGGUUGUGUCCAAGUCUUUGAGACUCCAUGGACUCCAGUUCUGCCAGGCUCCUCUGUCCACAGGAUUUCCCAUACAAGAAAACUGGAGUGGGUUGCCAUUCCCUUCUCCAGUGGAUCUUCCCGACCCAGGGACUGAACCCACAUCUGCAUUGGCAGAUGGAUUCUUUAUCGCUGAGCCACCAGUAAAAAGCUUAUGCUUUCAUAAGGAAAUAAAGUUGAAAAGCAGGAACAAUGACAACAACAACAACAAAACCACCAGGAAAUUCCUCUAAGUUUCUGUACUUUUGGCAGCGAUGGAUGGGACAUCCAGAACUGCAGACCUCAACCCUGAGAACAAACACUGUGAAGAUCAAACCACAAAAAUAACAACACAGUUUAAUGAGAAUCAAAUAUUAUGCAUCAGAUC